GGGUUAUUACGAGUGUGAUUUCGUGGGAUUGGUAUUUUGUUAUUUGGGCUCAUAAAAUAAACAAAAACUAAGCUGACAUUGACCUUCGUCUUCCUCAACAUUGGCGACCAAAUGAUUUCUAAGAUUCGAGCCGAUUAGGUCAACCGACAAUGGUGUUUUUGGAAGGUUGUGAGAGACAAAUCUUCUUUAGGAAUCUCUGGGUCGAGCUCCGUUCGUGUCGGUUCAUCUGCGAUUCAUCUCCUCUGAAACGUUACGGGAUGCAUGCUUCUUAUCUCUUUUAGAGACGGUGGAUCUCCACCUAUAAAAGUUUGUUGCAGGCUUAUCUUUCUCGAGUACAGAAGAGACAUUAACCCUAGCAUUUUCUCAAUAUGGCCGAGUACUUGCAGUGGAUGGUGUAAUGGAUGAUGUCAAAUGAAGGCAAGGGUUUGCUUAUGUCACAUUCUCUUUCUAAAGAAGAAGCUGUGAAAGCUUUAUUAGAACUAAACGGAAAGUUGGUAGACGGGCGGGUUGUGAUCCGUGACACAACAAAAGUUGUAAAACAGAAUCGACCCUUCCAUAUCAAAGACCUCAACAAAAUUCUCGCUCGAUCUGUGGCCGUUUUUUCUUGGUUUUGGAUCCAUCGGGAUGGGUUGAUUAGUCAUUGGUCAAGAAUGGGUGUGCUCUAAAAAGAAACAGAGGAAGCUAAAGAGUAGCCCAUACUGCUCCAAACACAGACCUAACUCUCACGGCUUGCUCUCCUGAUCCUUGGAGAUGAGGUUCAAUGCGGAAGGACGAGAAACCCACCAUGAUCUCUCAUGAGAUUCCAAUGUCCCGCAAUAGCUCAUACAGACAAGCUUUUCUAAAUGGUGACUUUUUUACUUACCAAAGUCUAAAAGAUUAUUGGCUUGAUGAUGGAAGUAAUAUGUGAGAGCAAAUCAUUAUGAAAAGUUGUCAACCUUUUCUCUGUUGUUUGAUCGUGAGUACCACUGUACAAGGAUCUAUGGUGUGUAUUAGAAUAUG